UAAAUAAAUUAAUUAGAUUAUUUAUUGAAAAUUUAAAUUAACUUUUGAAAGAUAGUUGACAAUGAGGUUAGAUUGUCUGACGUUAAUUUGACACUUGAUCAAAACUAUGUAACUGUUUUACAACUUUAAUUUAUAAUUACUACAAGACUUGUAAGUCGUCAGGAUAAAUAUGAAAAUAAAUAAUUUGGAAAUAAUCACUUGUUUUAAGGAAACAAACAUAAUGAUAUCUGAUGAUGCAUCUCAAGUACCAGCUGAAUGGUACGGAUAAAAGAAAUUGCAGGAUCCAAACAGAUCACACAGAACAAGUGAAAAGUGUAUUUGACCUGGUGAUUCAUUUCUAACCCGAGUAAUGAUAAUGCUCCAAACAGCAUUAAUACUUUAAUGAAAAUAGAGAGAUCCUGGUCACAUUGUAUCACUCAACGAUCAUCCAAAGCCAAAAAUAAAUAAAUAAAAUACAUUUAUUUUAUUAUUUGUGAUUCAUCUUGUUUUUUUUCAUUAUCGGGAAUAUAAAAUUAGCAAUAAAGUAU